rnacentral:rRNA from 1 species
UACGGAGGGUGCAAGCAUUAAUCGGAAUUAUUGGGCGUAAAGGGCGCGUAGGCGGUUUGUCGCGUCGGCUGUGAAAACCUGGGGCUCAACCCCGGGCCUGCAGCCGAUACGGGCAGACUAGAAUUCGGUAGGGGAGUCCGGAAUUCCUGGUGUAGCGGUGAAAUGCGCAGAUAUCAGGAGGAACACCGGUGGCGAAGGCGGGACUCUGGGCCGAUAUUGACGCUGAGGAGCGAAAGCGUGGGGAGCAAACGGG